UACGAAGGGGGCGAGCGUUGUUCGGAUUUACUGGGCGUAAAGGGCGCGCAGGCGGCGCAUUUUGUCAGGCGUGAAAGCCCCGGGCUUAACCUGGGAACUGCGUUUGAUACGGAUGGGCUAGAGUUCGGGAGAGGAGAGUGGAAUUCCCAGUGUAGAGGUGAAAUGCGCAGAUAUCAGGAAGAACACCCGUGGCGAAGGCGGCUCUCUGGGACGGUACUGACGCUGAGACGCGAAAGCGUGGGGAGCGAACAGG
rnacentral:rRNA from 1 species